rnacentral:lncRNA from 1 species
AUUCUGAAGAUGAUGGUCUUCCUCCUCUUGAGAAGAAUAUGAACCGAGUAAGCUUGGAAUCACAUUGUGAUUCUGAAGAUGAUGGUCUUCCUCCUCUUGAGAAAAAUAUGAAUCGAGUAAGCUUGGAAUCAGAUUGUGAUUCUGAAGAUGAUGGCCUUCCUCUUCUUGAGAAAAAUAUGAAUCGAGUAAGCUUGGAAUCAGAUUGUGAUUCUGAAGAUGGCAGCCUUCCUCCUCUUGAGAAGAAUAUAAAUCGACUAAGCUUGGAGAGUGAAGAAAGUGAAGAAGGAUGAUGGUCAAUAAACAUGAG